rnacentral:sRNA from 1 species
GUGCUGUUUCAUCUACCCGGCCAUGUUACUCGACUAACACAACACCACUAACAUGGCCUCGAUUUCCCUGGUGUUGGCGCAGUAUUCGCGCACCCCGGUAUAGCC